AAUUUGGAAUACACGAUUACCUGGAAAUGGAAAUGGAGUGAAAGGACAAAAGUACCCUGUGUGCGUAUUUGUUUGUUCUCUCCUCAGCCAGUGAUUUCGGUGUUGUUGCUGUGAGAUCGUUCGUGUUCUUGUAGCGCAGUUGAUAGGGUUAAGGCCAUGGAGCGCAUCAUCGGCACCAAGUACAAGCUAGGUCGCAAGAUCGGAAGCGGAUCCUUCGGUGAAAUUUAUCUCGCGACGCAUAUGGAUACCUUUGAGAUCGUCGCCGUCAAGAUUGAGAACGGUAAAACGAAGCACCCGCAAUUGCUUUACGAGGCCAAGCUCUACAAUAUUCUACAAGGAGGAAGUGGCAUCCCGAGCAUAAAAUGGUGUGGUGUAGACGGGGAGGAAAAUGUGCUUGUUAUGGAUUUGCUGGGACCUAGUCUUGAGGAUCUCUUUGUCUAUUGUGGAAGAAAGUUCUCCCUCAAAACCGUGUUGAUGUUGGCCGAUCAAAUGAUGAGUAGGAUAGAAUAUGUGCAUUCUAAAGGAUUUCUACACAGGGAUAUAAAACCUGACAACUUCCUCAUGGGGCUUGGUCGGAAGGCAAACCAGGUUUACAUAAUUGAUUUUGGGCUUGCAAAACGAUAUAGGGACUCCACAACUAAUCGCCACAUUCCUUACAGAGAGAACAAAAACUUAACAGGGACUGCACGCUAUGCAAGUUGCAAUACUCAUCUUGGGAUUGAGCAAAGUCGACGGGAUGAUUUGGAGUCACUUGGGUAUGUGCUUCUCUAUUUCCUCAGAGGAAGCCUUCCUUGGCAAAACCUAAAGGCAGCAACAAAGAAGCAAAAGUAUGAUAAAAUAUGUGAGAAGAAAGUAUCAACUCCUAUUGAGGUUUUAUGCAAGUCUCAUCCUGUAGAGUUUGCUUCAUACUUUCAUUACUGUCAUUCUCUGACCUUUGAUCAGCGACCUGAUUAUGGAUUCUUGAAGCGCUUAUUUCGGGACCUAUUUGCUCGAGAAGGUUAUGACUUUGAUUAUGUAUUUGAUUGGACUAUUUUAAAGUACCAGCAGGCACAAAAGAAUAGAGUUCAGCCUUGCAUAUCAACGGCCCCCGGAGCAAGCAACAGUCCUGCAAUACCAAUGGAUGUGGACAACCAUCAGGGUUUUAAUGUUUAUUCAGGGGAUAUCUCAGCAGAACGCACUAAAUCAGGCAAUGUUACUGGUUCUGGUGUUAAAAUUCAGUUUAAAUCACCCGUUGGUAAAAAUUUGGGUUCUGAAAAGCCUCUUGACAAGAAUAUUUUUGGUGAAGCAAAUAUACCCUCUACCUCAUACUCUUUUGCUGACAACUUAAAAAGGAAUUCCUUGAAGCCUGCCUUGUCCACUGAAGCCCCUGGACAUGGGCAGGGAAGUAAUAAAAUUGGCCCUUCAAGUAGCUGGAUUUCAUCUCUGCAGCGCAUGUCUUCUGCCAAAUGAAUGUCCAAUAUGGUUUGAUUCUGAUCAAGAAGAUUCCUGUAUACAUUCGGGAAGCUGCAAAUUCAUUUGAUUUGCUUGCUUCAACUUUACAUUUUUGGUCAAGAAUUCUAAAAGUGAUAUAUCCAUGGAGGCUGCAUAUGUGCUGCAAGGUUGAUAAAUUUCAAAGCUCAUCUUCUGUUGCUUUUCUUCCUAAGAGAAUAUAACUAUAUCAAAUCAGAGGCAGAAUAUUGGCGGAAUGAUCCCUGAAUUAAUGGUUUCUUAAGAGACAUCAAAGGAUUUCUUUUCUCAACCUAUAGUCUCAAGGAUGAAAUAUGACUGACAGUUAUAUUUAUAUGGAUGACAUUAUCAACUGGAACAUACCUCUCGAUACAGGUUGGAUUGCCAUAGCACUUUGGGAAUACUUCAGCUUUGUGACAAGCUUGAAAUAAGAAUUGCUUUUAAUAUGGAUGUUGGUUAGCAAUGAUCUUUGAAGAUCUAUGAUUUAUGUGAUUCUAACCAACAUUUCUGUGAAGUUGACUAUUCAUUAUUUCAGUUGAUGGUCAUGAUCUGUGAUCGAUGAUUUUGUUGCUGAUGAUAAGUAGGUCUUUCAAAGGAAAAAAUAUAUAAUAGAAAACACUGCACAUGAAGGAAGCUCACUUUCAUAUAUUUGAAACUAUUUGGUACUUCCAUGGUCCAUAUCCUUUCCAUGUGUACAAGUUUAGUUCAAUAAGAUUGGCAUCACAUUUUUUUUACUAA